UACGUAGGGGGCAAGCGUUAUCCGGAUUUACUGGGUGUAAAGGGAGCGUAGACGGCUGCGCAAGUCUGAAGUGAAAGCCCGGGGCUCAACCCCGGGACUGCUUUGGAAACUGUGUAGCUAGAGUGCUGGAGAGGCAAGCGGAAUUCCUAGUGUAGCGGUGAAAUGCGUAGAUAUUAGGAAGAACACCAGUGGCGAAGGCGGCUUGCUGGACAGUAACUGACGUUGAGGCUCGAAAGCGUGGGGAGCAAACAGG
rnacentral:rRNA from 1 species